CGGGGAGAGCUCGCCCGCAAGGAUGACUAAAUUGCAGGCUCGGAAGUGUAAUAGGUCCCAGGAGAGAGAACAUGAUUAGUCAGGCAAUUUACAGUUUCUCAAGUACCAGCAGGACAAAUACAGCAACAUCCACGUUAAUCUACCAGAAACAAAUGUCCACGACCCAAAGGAAUUGUCUACGUGAAUGUUUUAAUUCAAUAGCAAAAGAAAAA